rnacentral:rRNA from 1 species
UACGAAGGGGGCUAGCGUUGUUCGGAAUUACUGGGCGUAAAGCGCACGUAGGCGGAUCGAUCAGUUAGGGGUGAAAUCCCAGGGCUCAACCCUGGAACUGCCUUUGAUACUGUCGAUCUGGAGUAUGGAAGAGGUGAGUGGAAUUCCGAGUGUAGAGGUGAAAUUCGUAGAUAUUCGGAGGAACACCAGUGGCGAAGGCGGCUCACUGGUCCAUUACUGACGCUGAGGUGCGAAAGCGUGGGGAGCGAACAGG